AUUGAACGCUGGCGGCAGGCCUAACACAUGCAAGUCGAACGGUAACAGAAAGCAGCUUGCUGCUUUGCUGACGAGUGGCGGACGGGUGAGUAAUGUCUGGGAAACUGCCUGAUGGAGGGGGAUAACUACUGGAAACGGUAGCUAAUACCGCAUAACGUCGCAAGACCAAAGAGGGGGACCUUCGGGCCUCUUGCCAUCGGCUGUGCCCAGAUGGGAUUAGCUAGUAGGUGGGGUAACGGCUCACCUAGGCGACGAUCCCUAGCUGGUCUGAGAGGAUGACCAGCCACACUGGAACUGAGACACGGUCCAGACUCCUACGGGAGGCAGCAGUGGGGAAUAUUGCACAAUGGGCGCAAGCCUGAUGCAGCCAUGCCGCGUGUAUGAAGAAGGCCUUCGGGUUGUAAAGUACUUUCAGCGAGGAGGAAGGUGUUGUGGUUAAUAACCACAGCAAUUGACGUUACUCGCAGAAGAAGCACCGGCUAACUCCGUGCCAGCCGCCGCCGUAAGAC
rnacentral:rRNA from 1 species